AGCUCAGUGAUAGAGCACAUGCUUAACAUGCAUGAGGUCCUGGGUUCAAUCCCCAG
rnacentral:tRNA from 1 species